UCUCAGUUGGCGGCUGGUUUGCAAGAAAAGCAAGAGGAGAUUCAGGCCAAUAGGCAGAAUGUCAAAGAUCUUAAUGCCAAAAUUCAACAAGGCGACAAGGAAAUUGAGAAGCUUAAUGGCUUGCUGCGGGAGGCUAUGGACAAGAAACAGACUUUACAAUCGCAAUUUGAUGAGCAGCUCCUUCGAUUAACUGAACUCCAAAAGCAGUAUAAUUUCAAGUGCGAUGAAGUAGAGGUGCUCCAAGACUGUUUGAAGCAAAUGAAGGGAUGUGCGUGAACUGAAGAAGAGG